GUGGUAAUGCCGGAUGCUCCGGUUGGAUGCAUGUCCUUCCGGGAAAGAUCCGUCGGUAUGGGAUGGGGUCGCGUCCUAUCAGCUUGAUGGCGGGGUAACGGCCCACCAUGGCUUCGACGGGUAGCCGGCCUGAGAGGGCGACCGGCCACAUUGGGACUGAGAUACGGCCCAGACUCCUACGGGAGGCAGCAGUGGGGAAUAUUGCACAAUGGGCGCAAGCCUGAUGCAGCGACGCCGCGUGCGGGAUGGAGGCCUUCGGGUUGUAAACCGCUUUUGAUCGGGAGCAAGCCCUUCGGGGUGAGUGUACCUUUCGAAUAAGCACCGGCUAACUACGUGCCAGCAGCCGCGGUAAUACGUAGGGUGCAAGCGUUAUCCGGAAUUAUUGGGCGUAAAGGGCUCGUAGGCGGUUCGUCGCGUCCGGUGUGAAAGCCCAUCGCUUAACGGUGGGUCUGCGCCGGGUACGGGCGGGCUGGAGUGCGGUAGGGGAGACUGGAAUUCCCGGUGUAACGGUGGAAUGUGUAGAUAUCGGAAAGAAC
rnacentral:rRNA from 1 species